AUUGAACGCUGGCGGCAGGCCUAACACAUGCAAGUCGAGCGGAUGAAGGGAGCUUGCUCCUGGAUUCAGCGGCGGACGGGUGAGUAAUGCCUAGGAAUCUGCCUGGUAGUGGGGGAUAACGUCCGGAAACGGGCGCUAAUACCGCAUACGUCCUGAGGGAGAAAGUGGGGGAUCUUCGGACCUCACGCUAUCAGAUGAGCCUAGGUCGGAUUAGCUAGUUGGUGGGGUAAAGGCCUACCAAGGCGACGAUCCGUAACUGGUCUGAGAGGAUGAUCAGUCACACUGGAACUGAGACACGGUCCAGACUCCUACGGGAGGCAGCAGUGGGGAAUAUUGGACAAUGGGCGAAAGCCUGAUCCAGCCAUGCCGCGUGUGUGAAGAAGGUCUUCGGAUUGUAAAGCACUUUAAGUAGGGAGGAAGGGAAGUAAGUUAAUACAUGGCUGUUCUGACGGUACCAACAGAAUAAGCACCGGCUAACUUCGUG
rnacentral:rRNA from 1 species